rnacentral:rRNA from 1 species
UACGUAGGGGCAAGCGUUGUCCGGAUUUAUUGGGCGUAAAGAGCGUGUAGGCGGCCUGAAAGGUCAGCUGUGAAAACUCGAGGCUCAACCUCGAGACGUCGGUUGAAACCAUCUGGCUAGAGUCCGGAAGAGGAGUGUGGAAUUCCCGGUGUAGCGGUGAAAUGCGCAGAUAUCGGGAAGAACACCCGUGGCGAAGGCGGCACUCUGGGACGGUACUGACGCUGAGACGCGAAAGCGUGGGGAGCGAACAGGA